rnacentral:rRNA from 1 species
AUGGGGAGCGUGGACGGCGACCGCGAGGGGCUCCAGGCAGAUGCUGGACGCGCAGAGGUGAUCAAAUGGAUCAGUGCCUUAAUCCCGGAGUACGGCAUGCCACCGGAUUCAUCUGAUGAAGAGCUCCGGGAGCUGCUCAGCGACGGCACAGUCCUGUGCCGCAUCCUGAACACACCCAUCCCUGGUGUCCUUGAGGGGUCAGGUGCUGGUUAUACAUCUUCAGAGCAGUGGUCGGAAAAUGUGAAGAAGUUCCUCUCGGUGGUUGCUGACAUGGGGCUGCCAGGCUUCAGUGUGAAGGAUCUCGAGGAGGGAUCAAUGUCAUCAGUGGUGGAUUGCCUUUUGGUUCUGAGGGACAAUCUGAAUCCUGGAGUGGUUGAUGAUAAUUCACAGGAUGUUUCAAAGAUUCCUUCGAGAAAAAAAUGGAGAGUUCGGGAAACUGACGAGUCUCUAGUUGCUGCUGCACCACAAGGGAAAACACCCUCAGGAGAGAACAGGGGAAAUGGGGUUCCAUACCCCAAGUCUCAGCAGAAAACUCCUGCCUUCAAUGGAAAAAAGCUUCGUGAGAUUUUCCAGCUAAAACGUGGGUCCUAUGCUGAUCUUCCGGCUGCCAAGAUUUCAGAGAUGAUGCAUUCAAACAGUUUAGAUAAUGCAUCAACUCAAUCUCUGCUUACCGUUAUUAAUGGCAUUCUGGACGAAAGCAUUGAGAGAAAAAAGGGAGAAAUUCCACACCGUGUAGUUUUUCUAUUGAGGAAAGUAGUGCAGGAAAUUGAGCGUCGUCUCUGUGUUCAAGCAGAGCACAUAAGAAAUCAAAAUACUAUCAUCAAGACAAGGGAAGAAAAGUACCUUGCAAAAAUUAAAGCACUCCAAGUAUUAGUAAAUGGCACAAAUGAAGAAAAUCAGAUGACGGUAAAUCUGCUCCAAGUAGUGAAGGAAGAGAAGUCAAAAAUUGAAGAGAGACAAAAACUCAGUGAGCAAAAUGUUGUCCGGUUAAUAAAAGAAAAGAAGAAUGCUGAGAACAUGAUAGCAAGUCUUAAGGAAGAAAUGGAAGGGAUGGAAAAAAGGAAUAGGCUGCAAGAGAAAAAUGUUGUUCAGUUAAUAGAAGAAAAAGAGAGUGAUGAGAACAUGAUAUCAAGCCUUAAGGAAAAGAUGGAAGAAAUGAAUAGCCUGCAUAAGCAAAAUGUUGGCCGGUUAAUAAAAGAAAAAGAGGAUGGCCAGAACAUGAUAUCAAGACUUAAGGAAGAAAUGGAAGAAAUGAAUAGGUUGCAUGAUCAGAAUGCUCACCAGUUAAUAAUAGAAAAAGAGGAUGGCCAAAACAUGAUAUCAAGUCUUAAGGAAGAAAUGGAAGAAAUGAAUAGGCUACAUAAGCAACAGCUUGAUCAGUUUGAAAUAAAGACAAAGCAAAUGGAAGAGCAAUUAGCCACCAAAGUUAAAGAAUUUGAGCUUCAUGUACUACGAUCAAACAUGAAAAUCGAAGAGGUUGAGACAACCUAUCAACAGAAAUCACAGUUAUGGAACAAAAAGGAAAAUAUUUUUCAUAAUUAUAUGAACAACCAACAAUUAUAUGUCAAGGGCUUAAAUACAUCAUCAAGGUCGAUAAAAAGUGACAUGUAUGCUUUUCAAAUGAAGUGGAGAGAUGAAAUGUCUAAUUUAGGCUCCAAUUUAAAAUGUUUGGUUGAUGCUGCUGACAACUAUCACAAAGUUCUCGCUGAAAACCAGAAGUUAUUUAAUGAAGUGCAAGAAUUGAGAGGCAAUAUAAGAGUGUAUUGUCGCGUAAGACCAUUUCUUCCUGGGCAAGAUAAACAAUCAACUACUAUUGAUUACAUUGGUGAAAGUGGCGAGCUUUUGAUUUCAAACCCAUUGAAACAAGGAAAAGAUGGACAGCGGAUGUUCAAAUUUAACAAAGUGUUUAGCUCAUUUGCUUCUCAGGCGGAUGUAUUUUCUGACACUCAACCGUUGAUUCGGUCAGUUCUUGAUGGAUUCAACGUGUGUAUUUUUGCAUAUGGGCAAACUGGUUCUGGAAAAACUUACACAAUGAGUGGACCCAGUACAUCAAAGAAAGAUUGGGGUGUCAAUUACCGGGCUUUAAAUGAUCUAUUUGAUAUUUCACUAAAUAGGAGAAAUAUUUUCUCGUAUGAGGUGGGAGUACAGAUGGUUGAGAUAUACAAUGAACAAGUUCGUGAUCUUCUGUCAAACAAAAUUGCGCAGAAACGACUUGGGAUUUGGAGUACUUCUCAGCCUAAUGGACUCGUUUUACCGGAUGCGAGCUUAUAUCCAGUUAAAUCAACAUCAGAUGUUUUAGAUUUGAUGGAAAUUGGAUUAGCAAAUAGAGCAGUUGGUGCAACAGCUCUUAAUGAAAGAAGCAGCCGGUCCCACAGCAUUCUAACUGUACAUGUUCGAGGGGUGGAUGUGAAGACUGGAUCCAUUUCUAGAGGAUGCCUACAUCUCGUUGAUCUUGCUGGCAGUGAAAGAGUAGAGCGGUCUGAAGCAAUGGGAGAUAGAUUAAAAGAGGCUCAACAUAUUAACAAAUCUCUCUCUGCUUUAGGUGAUGUCAUUUUUGCUCUAGCACAGAAAAAUGCCCAUGUGCCCUACAGAAACAGCAAGCUCACACAAGUUCUUCAAAGCUCUUUAGGUGGACAAGCAAAGACACUAAUGUUUGUCCAAAUAAAUCCUGAUAUUGAGUCAUAUUCAGAAACUAUAAGCACUUUAAAGUUUGCUGAAAGAGUUUCUGGAGUAGAGUUAGGCGCUGCAAGAAGUAACAAAGACGGAAAGGACAUCAAAGAGCUGCUGGAACAGGUUUCGUCCUUGAAAGACACUAUUUCACGAAAAGACAUGGAAAUUGAGCAGCUCCAAGUCAUGAAAGACAAAGAUAAGUCCCCAAGUUCAGUUGUUGACAACCAUGGUUCAAGCAUGCCAAAUAAUUUUAGUUCCAAUGAGACUUCGCUGAUCACAUUAAACCAAAAGAGACAACUAUCAGACCCUCUGAGUUAUGCCGAGGUGAAUGCAGAUGCUGGUCAGACUUCACCCACUAACAUCGUGGCUGUGGGGUUGGAUGUAGCAGAUUAUGAAGACAAUUUAUCUGAAGAUGGUUCAUUAGUAAGAGAAACAGAGUAUACUAUUGGCAGGAGGAAUAUUAUGAACUCUAACUCCGACAUGAUCGACGAUACCAAAAUGCAUAGAGGUCCAUCGCGAACAGCCAGAUCAACUCUCACAAAAAGCGCGCAGCCAGCAAUCUCCAGACCAAAACCAAGGGAUGCAGUUUUGAAGACUCCAAGUCACACAAGGACCCCAUCCAACCAGUUGGCGGGAGGCUCUUCGGCCAAGGCAACCAAAAGAUGGCAGAAGUAG